CCAAUAGCGUAUAUUAAAGUUGUUGCAGUUAAAAAGCUCGUAGUUGAAUUUCGGGAUUGACGUGAUGGUCAUGCCUUAAGGGGUAUGAACUGUUGCUGUUGAUUUCUCACCUUCUGGAGAAACUUGAUGUCCUUUAUUGGGUGUCUUGCGGAUCCAGGACCUUUACCUUGAAAAAAUUAGAGUGUUUAAAGCAGGCAUUUUUGCUCGAAUACAUUAGCAUGGAAUAAUAGAAUAGGACGGCAUGGUUCUAUUUUGUUGGCUUCUAGGAUCACCGUAAUGAUUAAUAGGGAUAGUUGGGGGCAUUAGUAUUCAAUUGUCAGAGGUGAAAUUCUUGGAUUUAUUGAAGACUAACUACUGCGAAAGCAUUUGCCAAGGAUGUUUUCAUUAAUCAAGAACGAAAGUUAGGGGAUCGAAGACGAUCAGAUACCGUCGUAGUCUUAACCAUAAACUAUGCCGACUAGGAAUCAGACGAUGUUAAUUUUUUAAUGACUCGUUUGGCACCUUACG
rnacentral:rRNA from 1 species